GCAUUGUUUAAGCCGAAAAUUGCUUUUAACUAAUAAAACGAAGCAUAGAUACCAAGAUCCACAGCCAUUUCUCUAUUGAACACCCAUGCAUGUCUCUUCCGGUCUUUAAGAAAUUUUGAAAAUCAAGUAAAUCUAGGUAAACAGUUUAAUCUCUAAAUAGGUGUUCUAACAACCCUAAGCCUUUCUCUUCUUUGUAAGUAACAAGUUCGCACUUUUAUGGCGCCAACCAAUUGAAGGCAGAUGGUUCUCAUGGUAAACAAUUAUUACUUUCUCUACUCAUUCUUGCACCCAUAGCACACCUUUAAAUCUAAUAUUUCGGUUUCUAGCAUCCUUGAGAACACUUAAACUGUUAGUUGUCGCAUAUCACGUGCACACCGUCUACCUGACUGAAUGGAAUCUACGGUUCCACAAGACACCGCCUUGGCUCGUUACAUUAUCUCUCCU